CUUUUGAAACUCUAUUGCUUUUUUCUAUCCCUUUUAUAUGCACCACAUGACUUUGACAAAUAAUAGUUUCGCAAAGGUUAUGAAAAUCAGAUCGAAUUGAUCGGAUUAAUCAAAAACGGAUCUUUUGACUGAUUCGGUUGAUCUCUGUCUUUAAAAAACCAAUAAAAAACGGCUGAACUGGUAGUUAAUAUGUGAAUCCAAUGAAUUGGUCCGGUUUUUUGAAGGCUUGGCUCCCUCUCCCUUCACUCUCACAAUUCACAAAACCUAAACCCUAUUAGAGACAACUCAGACAAGAGCAGCCCCCACCAACAGCUACCACUCACCCUUGUUAGAGAUAUAACCAUUAGUGUUACCUUCUCCUAUCAGUUUAAGCUUUUGAGAUGAGUGGUUUCAUAAUAUGGUAUCAGCCAAAAGAGAGGCUCUUGCUUGAGGGGGAAUGUUAGAGAUGCUGAUGUGUUUUUAGUUUAGUUUGGAUUCAGAAGUUAGAAUCCGUUGCUGAUUAAUGGAUUAGAAUUCAAACUAAAUAUAAUUAUAUGCUUUGGCUCUCUUAUAUUCAACAUGUUUAAAAAUUCGUAAUUGAA